GAACUUCGGCAGAACAUAUACUAAAAUUGGAACGAUACAGAGAAGAUUAGCAUGGCUGGAUGACACAAGGAUGACACGCACAUUCGUGAAGCGUUCCAUAUUUUU